GUACUCGCUUUGGCAGCCCACAUACUAAAAUUGGAACAACACAGAGAAGAUUAGCAUGGCCCCUGUGCAAAGGAUGACACGUAAAUUCAUGAAGUGUUCCAUAGCUUU